rnacentral:tRNA from 1 species
UACGGUGUAGGCAAACGCUUCAACAUCCCGACCACUCGCGGCGUGAUCGCAGCGAUCCAGAGCGGCGCGUUGAUCGGUGCUGAAACCGAACACCUCGAC